rnacentral:lncRNA from 1 species
AUGAGGAAUUCAUUGCCUAUGAAGAUUGUGACCUACUUAUCUCUGGUUUUUCACUACUGGAUUCUCCCCAUACCCACUGCUUCCUUUUGUCUUCUCCACCUGGAGUUCAUCUUUCUCAAGGAGACUCUGGGGAUAUUGGAACUCAGCAUGCUAGAAUCUAUGGGAGGAGAGACAUUGGAACACCAUCUCUGGAAGGAAGCAAGAGAGACCCAAAGAUCUGGGAGGUUCCUUUGUGUGGGGAGAAAACAGGCCAGGUUGUGGAGAAGUUCAUCUGGGAUGUGACUGGGGUGAAGGAAGUCGUCAUUUCCUAUCUUCUAAUUUUAACAGACUAUUCUUGCUAAUUUUAGGAAACAAUGAUUUUCUUGGAAACCAAGGAACAUAUUUUAAGUAUCAAUAUUCUACUGGAGUUUGUUGAGUGAGUAUAAUACAUGGAACACAGUGGUCUUUGAAGAACUGAAAAUUAGUGUCUCCUCUGGGGCAGCAGAGAGGUCCUCAUGGGCAUGCACAACCUGCCACAGAUAACCAGUGAGGAGCCUGGAAGAAUAGGAAUAUAAGAUAACAUUAGGGAAAGAUAUUACAGGAAGGGGAGGUGGGUUGGACAGGGAGAUGGCUGGAAAGCUCCACUACUAUUUUUUGAACAUCAAGAGAAAGUAAAGACCUCUAUAGUCUUUAGGUGUUGAACUUAUGAGAGGACAUGAUCAAGAUUCACAGGAUGGACAGGCAUGGAUGGGUUUGUGAUCAAUUGGAGAAGAUAUCCAGAUUGUUGAGAUUACACACCCACUUGAGUAUAUUUUUUGCUGAAAGAUAAACUUAGUUAUUUCUAACUGUUGGAGGAUUAGAAAUGCUGUCAGCUCCCUCUAAACCUCCAUAUUGUAGACUCAAUUCUCAUUCUUGUUGUGAAGUAACCUCUCUUGUACUCAAGACAACUAGCUUGGGCAGUCUUUUAGCAACUUGUGACUAGAGUGAGGCACAAGAAAGGUCAUGGAACAGAGAUAUGUUCUAGAGGCCAGUGGUCCCCAUGAUGUUGUCCCCAAGUCCUUGGGUGGUAGCAGUUUAAAGCAUUAAAGCAAAGGGAAGGGACUUUGUACUUUUGUCCCACAACUCUCCUAAAUUCCUUGAUCUCUUCAAAGGAAAAGAGGAAAGGAGAAAUCUGAUGUAAGAUAAUCUGAAUCUUUUUUUAAACUAAGGUUUGUCCAUGUGUAUUUGGCAUGGUACAGAUCAAGAGAAACUAGAAAGUAGACAACAACCAAGCCAGUUGUUGAAUAUAUAUCUUCUCUUGAUC